AACGAACGCUGGCGGUAUGCCUAACACAUGCAAGUCGAACGAGAAAGUUUCUUCGGAAGCGAGUAAAGUGGCGCACGGGUUAGUAACACGUGGAUAAUCUACCUAUGAGCGAAGGAUAACGUUUGGAAACGAACGCUAAUACUUCAUAAGACCACAGCGGCUUCGGCCGCAGGGGUAAAAGAUGGCCUCUUCUUGAAAGCUGUCACUCAAUGAUGAGUCCGCGCACCAUUAGCUUGUUGGUGGGGUAAAAGCCUACCAAGGCUCAGAUGGUUAGCUGGUCUGAGAGGAUGAUCAGCAACACUGGAACUGAGACACGGUCCAG
rnacentral:rRNA from 1 species